AUGUGCGCCUCGUUCGCGAAAUUCGCCGAACGAUGGAAUCCGCUUCCGGAGACACUGCUCUCGUGGUCCAAGAACAAUUGUGACAAGGUUCAGCCAAGACCAAGGGAUAUGUCAUGUGAAGAUGUUGUACAGGUAGGUGGAGAUUCGGAAAGGUCACGCCCAUUUUUCUGUGCCCUGUAGGGCUGUACAACCGGACGUCCGGUCGUCCGAACCGGACGCACAUGCGUCCGGUUGGGGGUAGCUAUCCACGACGGCCGACAAUUUCCGAGUUUCGCCACUCACUAUAAAAUUGCUGAUUAAGUAUAGUGAGUGGCGAAACUCGGAAAUUGUCGGCCGCCGUGGAAACCUACCCCAAAACCGGACGCAGUGCGUCCGGUGGUGUCAAAAUCGGACGACCGGACGCCGAUUUGUACAGCCCUAGUGUCCUGAAGGCGAGCGGUCUGCUCCACGUUGUGCUCCGAAUCGGGGAAUCUUGAUCGGGAGAAUCUAAAUCUGCCCAUAGAACCUUGAACGUUGCGGAAAAUUCAAUUUUUGCCACGAGUCACACAAAUAUGGGAAAUCUGAAUUUUUGAGCUCAGAUGGGCACAGUUUUGUGGGCGUGGUAUUUACAGGGAACUCAGAUAUAUGGGGAGCCAAGAUCGUGUAAAUUUACAAGGUGGAUCUCCGUAAAUCUACACAAUUUUGGCUCUUCCCGCGCCACGCCCCUUGGGUCCCGAUAUGUAUGCGUCUCUUCAACAGACAACUCUCUGCGGCUUUGUAAUAUUAGUUAGUCGCAAUAACUUGCAAUUUUUGUACCGAAAAUACGGUACCCGGUCUCGACACAAUCUACUUUUGUUGCUAAAUUUCCAGCGAUUUUUUUUUCGAUAAAAAUAUAUUAUGAAAACUCUUAAACUUUGAAAAAUCGUGAGAAAAUCUAUGGGAAAUCGGUGAAACUACAGUAAUCUUUAAAGGCGCACAGUUCAUUUCCAUUUAACCAAUAAUUCACGUGGUGUCAGGCUGUCCCAUGACGGUUUGAUCUACAAAAAAUGCUGGAAUUUUUCUCUCAGCACACUCUUAACUAUGCGAAAUUAGUUUAAAAGUCUGCGUCUCUUCUCCCGCAUUUGGGGCACUUUGACACCACGUGAUAAUUGUCGUGUCAAGACUAAGUUAUAAUUCGCUGCGAGACUCGAAAAAUGAUGUGCAACCUUCCCAACUUUCAGUUCGUCGCGGACUGCAAUUUCAGCGGCGGAGGCCCCGGGCCGGGAAAACUGGCGGACACCACCAACCGCCAGGUCGCCGACACAUUCUACCAGAGGACCUACGAAAACUCGCCGAGAGUCCUGCCAAAGUAUAUCUACUAUAAUGAGAAUACCGCCAGAGACUACGGGCAGUUCGGUAACUGGUACUACCCGAAUUACUAUCCACCAACUUAUCUCGGAUUCUUCGACGGACGGCCGGCAAGUAUGGCACAGCUUGAGAAUGAUUAUAAAUUUGCAAAAGGUGGACAUUAUCCAUAUAACAGAGCCGAUAAUAUUGUGAACAUUGGGCUUCAACAGACAUAUCUUCCAACUUGCCUUCACGACUUGUUCUACUGUGUUCGCGCCAGCAAUGGGCAGAGACCCCAGGCGUAUUUGAACUACAAAGAAUACCGCCGUGACCGUGACCAGGCUGCUGAACAAAUGGCCCAACGGGAUCAAGAUAUCAAGACUCUCCGCCGCCACCGCACCAGACACCACGAGGAUGAUGAAUAA